UAGGGAAUAUUGGUCAAUGGGCGCAAGCCUGAACCAGCCAUGCCGCGUGAGUGACGAAGGCCUUCGGGUCGUAAAACUCUUUUCUGAGGGAAGAACAACCGGGACAGGAAAUGGUCUCGGCCUGACGGUACCUCAGGAAUAAGCAACGGCUAACUCCGUGCCAGCAGCCGCGGUAAUACGGAGGUUGCGAGCGUUGUUCGGAAUAACUGGGCGUAAAGGGAGCGCAGGCGGUUUGGUAAGUCUAAAGUGAAAGCCCGGGGCUUAACCUCGGAAGUGCUUUGGAUACUGUCAGACUCGAGUUCGUAAGAGGAAAGCGGAAUUCCAGGUGUAGCGGUGAAAUGCGUAGAUAUCUGGAGGAACACCGGUGGCGAAAGCGGCUUUCUGGUACGAUACUGACGCUGAGGCUCGAAAGCAUGGGGAGCGAACA
rnacentral:rRNA from 1 species